rnacentral:lncRNA from 1 species
GUAGCCUGCGUAGCAGUCGCUUUAUUUUAUUGUAGGUUUUGAGGAUUUUUGAAUAAAUGGCGGGUUAGAAAAAAUGGGCGAAGAGAAAAAGGGCGAGAAAAAACGGGCGAAGGAAAAGGCGAAGGAAAAAUAAAGCGCCUGCAACCGUCCUUAAUAAAAAUUAAUUCCCCGUUCAGAUUCUGAACGGAAAAUACUGAUUGGUCAAAAUCUGGCUCAAGGUGUUCUCGCUUCCGGUCCGUGCAUUUUGAAUAAUACAAAUGCCAAAUGAGACGACAAAAGAAUGUUUAUAGAACGAAGCGCUGUAUCGAAUUCUUUAAAAAAAACUGUUAAAAGGCUAACCUUGAAAGAUGAACAAAGGGGUCCCAGAGAUAUUCUCAACGAC